CGUGGGGGUGGCAGUCAGACAUGCCUCCAGGGUGUUUCUGCCCAGACUCGGGGGGUAGGGAGGUGGGUACAGCUGCUCCCCACCAAGAGUCUAGGUCUGUCUAUGGGCCACAGUGGACUCAGCCAGGGGUAACAGGCCAGGGCUGCAGCAUUGAGGAUUUCAGUGAGACUCAGGGCAGGACUUCCUGAGGGUGGGGGAAGUGGAGCAGGGCACUGGUGAAGAGGGACAUGUGCCUCCCAGGGAACAUGGCUCUUUGGUUGUGACACCUCCUUACCCUCUGCUGCCACCCAAGGUUUCCCUCCUUCCCAGCCCACUGCCUCUAGGCUACAGAAACUGCAGCCCCAAGGCCCUAGUGCAGGGCACAGGGCACGCCAGCCAGGGAAGAGGGGGUGCCCUGGCCUUGCUCCCCUGUCGCCUCCUCAGAGUCCCCCAGUUUGUGCACAUCCUUCCAGGCAUUUGGCCACACCUUCUGCGGUGGAGGCAUAGCCGGGGCAUGAAGCCUCGAACAGCCCUUCUGCCACCAAAGAAGCUACCAUGGGUCCCAGCGUCCCCUUGGGCGAUGGUGCAGGGCAGCCAAUCAGCAUCCUGGAGGCAGUUUUGAACACCUGAGUCCACCAAUGCCCAGGUGAGGGCCCUCUGGGCCUCCCUGCACAUCCACUGCCCUCCUCAGUGGCCAGGAGUGUCACGACUUGGUGCUACUUUAUUUUGUCACUUAAUCUUCAUAUUCCCCACCAAGCCACUCCCUGCUUGCAGCCUUUGAAUCCUUGUUUCUGCACCUCCAGGGCCUGUGUGUGUGUGAGCUCUGCUCAGAUGGGACAAGCCAGAGUUUUGCACUUAGGGCACCUGCUGUCCAGAGCCAGAUCUGGGGGCAGGUGCAGAGUCCCCUCGCGCCUUGGCCCCUCAGCAGUUGUGCAGCUUCCUCUGAGAUCUGUGGGCCUCACAGGCUCCCAGUGAGCAGAUGGGGACACAGAGAGUAGCCCUGAGUCUGGGCUUUCCUUUAGGGGUCAAGUUUAUAGGGAAAGGAAGGGGCGUGGCAGCCUGAGGUCGGGUAGCUGUACCCAGCCAGGCCGUGACUUCCUCAUCUCCACCCCCACUCAGGGACUGGCACUCCAGCACUCCGAGACUGUCCCUCCUGGCAGCCAUCUCCACCCCGGCUCUCAGGAGAGGAAGGGACCCAUCCGGGGGUCUGGGGCUGUGUGCUAGGGGUCUGCUGAGGAGGGAGCCGGCCCCUUCUUUCCAGGUGAAGACCCUGGACCUGGUCGCCUGUCCCUGGCUCCCUGCACCCUUCUCAGGAGGCUGUUGACUGUUCCCGUUGUUUUUGGAAUCUCGCCCUGACCUCUCAGUGAGAGGGUAAGCCUUGGCUCUGUGGCCCUGUGUGUGGAGCCUGCACCCGCAUUCCCACAGCCAGGUGCAAAGGCUGUUCCUCUUCCCUAGCCCCAAGCCUUUGCACAACCGUUCUCCUGAAAGGCCUUCCUGAGCUGCUCGCUCCCCUGCUGCAGCUGCGUUUAGCUUGUGGCCUGAGCUUCAGCACCAGCCUGGCUUGUCGAAGUUCCCUGGGCUCUGGCAAGAAGCAGUUAAGGACUUAGAGAGGCUCACCCAGCAGGCCACCUCCUCCAAGCAGCCUUCCAGGGUACAGGAAACUCAGGCUGGGACUGCCUCUGUGUUCCCACUGGGGUUGGAAAACUUGACACUCCACCUCCUAAUUCCUGGCAAGGUGCUCCCAGGCCUACCCCGCUCACAUCAUGACCCUGCUGUUUCUCCACACUUGUUGCACCAGCUGUGCUGGGCUCGAGGACCAGGGUCUCCCAUCUGUUUCUGUCCUCAGGACAUCAGGAGUUUUCAAGGGCUAGUGGGGAUGCUGAGAUCUAAAAGCAUGUUUAGGCCGGGUGCAGUGGCAUGCACCUUGUAGUCCCAGCACUCUUGGAGGCCGAGGCGGGAGGAUCUCUUUGGGUC